rnacentral:rRNA from 1 species
UACGUAGGGUGCGAGCGUUGUCCGGAAUUAUUGGGCGUAAAGAGCCCGUAGGCGGUCUGUCGCGUCGGUCGUGAAAACUUGGGGCUUAACCCUGAGCUUGCGGUCGAUACGGGCAUGACUGGAGUUCGGCAGGGGAGACUGGAAUUCCUGGUGUAGCGGUGAAAUGCGCAGAUAUCAGGAGGAACACCGGUGGCGAAGGCGGGUCUCUGGGCCGAUACUGACGCUGAGGAGCGAAAGCGUGGGGAGCGAACAGG